UAACCCCAAUGAUGUCAGCACUGGGCUCCGAUCACUGUGAUGAUUUUGGUGCCUUCUGGAGACUUGACACUCUAGGAGACUGAGGGGUUC
rnacentral:snoRNA from 2 species